GUCCCCAUCGCCUAGUGGCCCACGACUCCGCCCUCUCACGGCGGAACAGUGGUUCGAACCCCCUUGGGGACGCCA
rnacentral:tRNA from 1 species